rnacentral:antisense_RNA from 1 species
CUUCACCGAGCCCAGCCAGAGCGGCCGCUCCGCGUCCCGGUCGCGACCGUAGGUGGCGAGCAGCGCCUGGGCCUC